rnacentral:antisense_RNA from 1 species
CUUGAUCGACCCGAGCCACAGCGGCGUCUCCCGAUCCUGACCGUAGGCGGCCAGCAGGGCCUGCGCCUC